rnacentral:lncRNA from 1 species
UGUGUCUCCAAAUAUAUUAUGUUUAUUUUUCCAAAAAUUAAGCAUAAACAUAUUAUACAAGAACUUCGAGAAAAAACUAAAAUUGUCUACUUUUCGAAGAUGUCUCUUAUAUUUUUUUUUUAUUUAGCCUUUUCAAUCCAUUGGUUUUGUGUGUCCAAUUUUAAUGCUAAUUUAACCAGCAUAGAUGCUACAUCGCAUCAUCGAGAUUAUGGCGUUGUCAUUACGUUACAUUGUUGUGUGAUCAUGACACUCAUUAUCUACGAUAUAUGAUGUUAUCCAUCAUUACUUCAUUUUGACUUUAUAUCAGGACCGCGACGUCAUUGAAAUACGUAUGGUGGUAUGUUAAGAAAUCAGUAUGCCAUAAAUUACCCCUACUCUGAUAACACUUAGCACCAUCUUGUUGGCAAUAUAAAUUGUGAUGAUGAUAAAAUAUCCUGCAGGAUUAGUCGAUCUUAUAUGAAUAAAGGAUGCGGUGCGUCUACCAAAUUUCAUGAAAAUUUGCUAAUGCAAAAAUUAGUGGGGGACGGACAGCAUUGGUUCGAUUUGAUAAGCCUCCAUUUCCUUCGGAAAGUAGGCUAAUGAUAAAUUUUAAUUAUAGAAAUGCAAAACUAACCAUUUUUGUUACUUCACGUCAUAAUUUGCAUAAUUCUUUCCCUACGUCACAGAUAAUAGCUACAAAUCUACAUCAUCUCCAUAAUAGUGUGACGUAUUUAUGAUACCUCUGCCCACUCAGCCCCCCACUUCCUCGGAAUUUCAAAUUUACUAUACCAGAUUUAUGGGCUCUUAAUAUUGGGCAAUUAAAUUUUUGGGCUCAUUCCGUUCGACACCAAUAUCGAUUUUUUUGUGGGGGGGCUGAGUGGGCAGAGG